AUUUUAGAAUUAUGUGAAAAGAAAUCAAAUUUGUUCGUAGUUAUUUCAUGAUAAUAUUUUUGAUGAACUUUUAUCUAACAACCAAGAAAUUAUAUGUGAACUCAUCGGUAUUGAGUUAAAUAGUAUUGUCUGAGCAUAUAAAACCACAUGCCAAUAUGAGUUUUUAAAAUCGCAUGAAAAUAAAAAGUUGACUAAAUUGUAAUUUACAUAUUUUAUCCUUUUUAAUUGAUAUAGAAAUGUUUUAAAAAUGUAAAAAUAAAAAGAGAAAUUGCAAAACGGGGAUUUGAGUUUGACUCCGACCAAGUAGUGCAGAACAGUCGUCUCUACUCUGCUAAAAGCGUAUCAAUGAUGCGAACAAGGAUUUUGUGGUUUGGUGUAGGUUUCGCCUCUGCUUCUGGAGCAAUUGCGCAGUUUGUGCUCAAGGAUCUGUGGACGGAUCGCACUUCCCUUGCUUCUCAGGUGACGGAAAAGUUCGAUUCGCUGGAUGCGCGAGUGUUUAAUCUGGAGUCUGUGAUUUCCAGCAAUCAUACUUCACCUCAGGGAAAAAGGAGAGAGAGGUGUGUGAAUAACAGGGAUGGAUCUUCAUCAACUUAAGGAUGCGGUGUACUGGUGUCUGGAUGAAGGGAAUCUUGGAUGAAGGUUCUGAUUUUUUGCAGCAUAUGCAUAUGAUCCUACAGCUGUUCUACUGUUCUUUCUGAAGAUUGGAUGUAUUUACAUUACUUUUGAGAUUUUUGAAUGGCAGUGAUCUACUCAUAUCCAUCUUGACUUUGUCACAUACAUUAUGCUUUCAAUGUCAUCUAGUAUGUUAUAAUUCGAUAUGGAAUUCAUUAACUUGUCCUUUGUGAUUGGAUUAUGGAAUCAUUAAUUGCCCUUCCAUGUUGCAGUAGCUUAUCUGUUAAUGAUGAUGAUGUUGUUUGGAAAUUUAGUCCCUCAUAACACAUAAGUGACAUGUUGCAUCCAGAUUCUAAGGAUCUGGAAUGAUAUCAAAUUCCAGCAUAAUAUAACUGAAUUAAAAAAAAGAAAAAAGAUUUAGACUAUUUGGAUCAUUCUCGAGUGCACAGAAAUUUAGCUGCCCACUCAAAACAACACAAGGCAGCAUAAGAUAUUCAGCUGCUGCAUUAUAUGGCUAUUGUGCCAGCUGCCAAGUAUUUGAACACAAUGGCUGAGAACAAAUUAAUUUAACUAUUUUAAUUGAAAUUCCUACAUUUGUCAAAAGUCCUACUGUGUUACAGAGUGUUAGUGCCUAUAUAGCUGUUGUGAAAUUUUCUAUCCGUCUCUCUGAUACAUUGUCAUUCACAUGAUCCAAACAGUUAUAUUUCAUCGGCUGAGGAAAUUUUUACAACUUGCCAUACAAGGGGUUUCUCUAUGUGUACAGUCAUUAGGUUGUUAGCAUCUCCUAUAGUUUUUCUACAAUGUUACUUAUUGUUCUGGACCAUCUUCUGAGUCAUCACCUGUAUGAUUUGUUGCUCCACUUUCUAUGGUACCACCAUUAUGAGGGUUGAUUGAUCCACCUGAUGAAUGAUGAGUUUGGUCGUGGUGUUCUUUGAUUGUCCAAAUGGGAACCAAGAUCACUAGCACCACUGACAGGAACAACAAUGCUGACCAUAGCAAUCGUAUGUAUCUCCUUAGUGGCUUGCAAUGUUUGUUAAGAAUUUCGGACAAGGCAUCCUUGAUUGGCCUACACUCAACAAGGCCUUCUAUGCUAGGAAAUUGAUCGAGUAAUAUUUGUAUAGAAGUGCAGUAUGCUCCUAUUGAGUUGUAGUAAUCUGCAGGAACCAGAAUUCCUCCAUUACAUGUGGUCUGGGUAUCAGGACAGGCUAUCUGUUCUAUAACCUUCAGAAGCAAGAGAUCUGUUCUUAGUUUAACAUCGCCCUCAAGAAAAAUUGUUGGUCUCGGUGAGUCUCUCUCUCUCUCUCUCUCUCUCACACGCACACACACAUAAAGAAGUUGGGAGCUUUGAUGUGAGUGUGUAAAGUAGAUUCAGUUUUCAUAGGUCCCCUUACCUUAGGAAUAUCUCCUAUUCGCACAGAUGUGUUUGGACAGUUCCAUGGCUGGUAGUCAUGUGCAGGUGUUGGGGAGAAAGGAUUGCAAAUCUGAAUAAUUCCUCCAUAUGAUAUAGAUAUAUUUUCGUUUACCUGCAAUAGUUGAUCUCAAGAAUGUAAGCCACAGAACAUUCUCCUUUUCCUUUGCACGAGUGGUAUGAAUAUGAUAAUGAUAUCAGGUAAAAAAUUUCUAAAUAAUUAAAGAAAAAGCAAUGCACUAGGUCUUCCACUGAAAUAUAUUAUGCCCAUCAUGAAUAGUUUGGAUCUCUUAAUGACACAGGGAACUGAGAUCACCCCAGAAUCCAUUAGACCAGUUGAGUGCCAUGAAAGAUGAAGUCUUAUUGCAUAUAAUAAGAUUGUCAUCUAUGGCUCGAUAAUAUUCUAGUUAAAUUUUCUUCAACUUUCUUUCAUUCACAAGUUCAAAUGUUGAUAUGUUCUAUUAAUUGGACUUGAGCACCUUUGAACUAUACUUGCAAAGGGUUUAUAGUUUAUACCACCUAAUAAAUUACCAUGACAAAUAGAUGAACCAACAAACAUUUUAUUCAUACAGAAUACAUUUCUUAUAACUGCUUAUCAGCUUACCUUAUUCACUAAGUUGUGUAUCCCUGCAGUAACAUUAUUAAGCAUUGGUUUUGCAGAAAGCAAUUGUUCACAGGGUAGAAUGGGACUCAAGCUGUUGUUAUAAGGAUUCUUCUGGAAGCCUUCAAGUGCUCUGCAUGUGUCUCCCGUCAAGCUGAAAGUUUUUAUCCCUUUAGUUGAUCCGAUGGACAUGUAUAUGCAAGUCAAAUAUUGUACUAGAAUUUAUUUUUAUCUAGAUAUAUCCAUACAUUUUUUGGUUCACAUCAAUUGUUUUGGAGCUGGGAGGUGAAAACUUACGUUUGUAGGAAGAAGCUUAUCCCAAAAAGCCACCAACAGAAGAAAGUUAACAUCCAGCAAACUGCUAUUAAUCUGCAAUGGGGUAAAUCCGUUAGAAAUUAUUUCAUUUUAAUCAAAUGAGUAUUCUAUGUAUUAAUUCCUUGAGCUUACACUUGAAAGGGCCUCUGAAAGCUUGAAACUCCAAGUGCUGUAAUAACAAGAGCAUUUUGUGAAGAGAAGGAAAGUGCAGGAAAGAAAGCUUGACUGUUAUCACUAUUGACAGUUUUCUUUUAACAGAAGAUUAAUUUGUUUUAACAUAACUCGUCUUUGGAAUCAGAGUAGCAGCUAGGUGCUCAUUUGGCCUUACCUAAGAGAGAGAUUACGACAAGUAGUGUAAGCGUUAUCGUCACUGUUGUCAUUGCGUAUCUGUCAAUACCAGAAAGUAGUAAUCAUAGAUCUAUAUUGGCUUCGAAUAAACAUAAAACAGGGGGAGCAAUGAGAAUAUAUACGAUGUUUUCAGGCCCUUUUGUAUUAAGUUCCUGUUCUUGGAUGCAUGUGUUUUUAUAGCAGAACCUUGAGUUUCGAGCUUUAUGGUUGUUGAAUUUAUUAAUUGCUUGUUCUUUUCAUCCAUUUGUUGUUGUUGCAAAUUCUGGCUUAUUUCCUUCAUGGCUCCAGUUAUGUUGAAUAUUGUGUCAGAUACACCAUCUGCUGUGUCAAGAAGAAUUUCUACCACUUUCUCUGCUCUGGAAUGGGACUUUGAAUUACCUCCUAAAGCCAAGCCAGAGGCCGUUCUGAAAUGAUAGCAGCAGAAACUAGCCAAAAUAAUAGGUUGUAAAUGGUACUGCUCAUAACACGAUGAUUUGUUCUUGCGCUUUCUGCUCGUCCUGAAGCAAUCAGUUCUUACUAAAAGAAGAAUUCCAUAUCCUAUACCGCAUAGAAGCCAUAUUAGUGCAACAGCAUACCCGGGUAUGCCUGUAAAUGCCGUUGACUGCACAACAGAACAUAUGCUGUAAAAUAAGUCAACUUUUCAUUUUCGUUAAGAUGAAAGUGGUGGGAGCAAUAGCUAUACCAAUACUUACACUCCAGUAAUGGUCAUUUGUAACGUUAUAUCCUCCUCUGUAUUUCUUCAAUAAAUUUAAAGGGUCGGCUCUAACGGUUUCUUUCAUAUAUGUCAUCCCUACUGAGGUCAUGUUCGAUCCUGUUAAAAUUCGUCCUGAAAGGUUGACAGCUUUCAUGCAAAGAUUAUAAUCACAGAAGAGUUUAUGCAGAGGUUAAAAGCUCCUAAAGUAGAAGCAAAGGAAGAGAUGAAUCAGACACCUGAUUCAGAGCUGGAAACUCCUGUGAAGCUCAAGGCAAGCAUCCCGAGAAUUACAUGCUUUGCCAUCCUUGUUCCACGAAAGGUUCCCAUUUCUUCUACCUAUCAUUGAUUUUCUGUUUACAUUUGGUUAUUGUUUGGAUAGGGCAUUUAGAGGAUCUUUGCCUCCCCAACUUAGACCAUGAGAAAUAUAGAAAUGCAUGCUCAGAUUUUUCCAAGCACACACCGACACACAUCACACCUUCUGUUGUAUGCAGUAAUUACACAACGAAGUAAAUUGGAGAUAAGCUAACUCUAUUUAGGGGGUGUUUACUUUGUGGGGUAUGAUUGAUAGAUAGUGAAGACAAAGUGUACUUUAAAUGUGAGAUACAGAGACUGAACCAUACUAGGCGAAAGCCUGACUUAUAAAGGAAAAAAAUGUAGAGAAAAACAGCUUCUAGCUUUAUAGAAUUAGCGUAACGUGCUUCAUUUCUUCUUCUACUGAAAAACAAAUUUAUAGGAGACAGGAGUUGAUGGUCAUUGAUUUAGGUGAUCGAACAUUUUUCUCGUGUUUAAGCUUAGGUGCCGAAAAUUGGGAGUAUGAAGUGAGUAGGAACGAAUCCGUGGAUAUGCCUAUUAGUGGUAUUUUGGUACUUGAUGCAAUCUAUUAAUGGUAUGUUGCCAUGUUGGUACAUAGAUGCUAUAAUAAAUGGUGUUUUAUUUGCAUUAUUCGUCAUCAAUGCAUGCCACGUGUAUAGAUAUUGAAAGAAGGAAGCAGUCAAAAAACUCACUCGGAAAAGAACUGCUACUCCUUUUUCCUCUGAGCUCGCGUUUCUUGUCGUUGAUUAUGAAGUUUUGCUCAGGGAAGCCGAUGUGAGUACCUUGGAAUAAAAUAAAAUGGGUAGGAAUUGAUCAAUGUAUUCCAUCGAUCCAGUUAAACUGGAAUCGAUAGAAGAUCUUCAUUUUUCAUAAAAAAUGAAAAAAGAAAAGGGCAAAAUAUUAUCACUGGCCAUUCCUUAUAUUUUUUAGGGGAGAGGUUUAUGCAUGACGAAGAAAAGCUACAAAUAGAAUUAUUGAGUAACAAGUCACUAAAUAUUACUAUUAUUAUUGUAAUUUAGUGUGUAAUUUGCUCUGUCCUUUUCUCAGUUUUGACUUUUAAAAGUAAGUCAGUUAAAAUGUUUUCUAUGUUUCCGACCGGAAAAUGUGUGAAAAACUGAUUAAAACA